rnacentral:rRNA from 1 species
AGUGAACGCUGGCGGCAGGCCUAACACAUGCAAGUCGAGCGGCAGCGCGGGGGUAACCCUGGCGGCGAGCGGCGGACGGGUGAGGAAUUCGUCGGAAUCUGCCUUUUUGUGGGGGAUAACGUAGGGAAACUUACGCUAAUACCGCAUACGACCUACGGGUGAAAGUGGGGGACCGCAAGGCCUCACGCAGAAAGAUGAGCCGACGACCGAUUAGCUAGUUGGUAGGGUAAAGGCCUACCAAGGCGACGAUCGGUAGCUGGUCUGAGAGGAUGAUCAGCCACACUGGGACUGAGACACGGCCCAGACUCCUACGGGAGGCAGCAGUGGGGAAUAUUGGACAAUGGGCGCAAGCCUGAUCCAGCCAUGCCGCGUGUGUGAAGAAGGCCUUCGGGUUGUAAAGCUACUUUUGUCCGGAAAGAAAUCUUCCAACUUAAUACGUUGGGAGGAUGACGGUACCGGAAGAAUAAGCACCGGCUAACUUCGUG